GACGUAGGGCGCGAGCGUUGUCCGGAUUUAUUGGGCGUAAAGAGCUCGUAGGCGGCUUGUCGCGUCGUCCGUGAAAACUUGGGGCUCAACCCCAAGCUUGCGGUCGAUACGGGCAGGCUCGAGUUCGGUAGGGGAGACUGGAAUUCCUGGUGUAGCGGUGAAAUGCGCAGAUAUCAGGAAGAACACCCGUGGCGAAGGCGGCUCUCUGGGACGGUACUGACGCUGAGACGCGAAAGCGUGGGGAGCGAACAGG
rnacentral:rRNA from 1 species